GGGUUCUUAGUGUAGGGGUUAACAUCUGGGCUUUCCAUUAGAGAUAGUGAUCUGCCCAGGCCGGGGGUUCGAGUCCCCCAGGACUCA
rnacentral:tRNA from 1 species